GACGGAGGAUGCAAGCGUUAUCCGGAAUUAUUGGGCGUAAAGCGUCCGCAGGUGGACAUACAAGUCUGCUGUCAAAGUGCAGAGCUUAACUCUGUAAAGGCGGUGGAAACUGUAGGUCUUGAGUAUGGUAGGGGUAGAGGGAAUUCCCGGUGUAGCGGUGAAAUGCGUAGAUAUCGGGAAGAACACCAGUGGCGAAAGCGACUUCCUGGACCAAUACUGACGCUCAUGUGCGAAAGCGUGGGGAGCAAACAGG
rnacentral:rRNA from 1 species